CCCAAUGGCACGAGAUGCUCGUGCUUUCGACUGCGACCCCAGGUCAGGCGGGACUACCCGCUGAGUUUAAGCAUAUCAAUA
rnacentral:rRNA from 1 species